CCUACGGGAGGCAGCAGUGGGGAAUAUUGGACAAUGGGCGAAAGCCUGAUCCAGCCAUGCCGCGUGUGUGAAGAAGGUCUUCGGAUUGUAAAGCCCUUUCGACAGGGACGAUGAUGACGGUACCUGUAGAAGAAGCCCCGGCUAACUUCGUGCCAGCAGCCACGGUAAUACGAAGGGGGCUAGCGUUACUCGGAUUUACUGGGCGUAAAGGGCGCGUAGGCGGCUUGGUGAGUGAGGCGUGAAAUUCCCGGGCUUAACCUGGGGACUGCGCUUCAUACUGCUGGGCUUGAGGAUGGAAGAGGGUCGUGGAAUUCCCAGUGUAGAGGUGAAAUUCGUAGAUAUUGGGAAGAACACCGGUGGCGAAGGCGGCGACCUGGUCCAUUACUGACGCUGAGGCGCGACAGCGUGGGGAGCAAACAGGAUUAGAUACCCUUGUAGUC
rnacentral:rRNA from 1 species